UCCCCAGACUCCUACGGGAGGCAGCAGUGGGGAAUAUUGGGCAAUGGGCGCAAGCCUGACCCAGCAACGCCGCGUGAAGGAAGAAGGCUUUCGGGUUGUAAACUUCUUUUCUUGGGGACGAAGAAAGUGACGGUACCCAAGGAAUAAGCCACGGCUAACUACGUGCCAGCAGCUGCGGUAAUACGUAGGUGGCAAGCGUUAUCCGGAUUUAUUGGGUGUAAAGGGCGUGUAGGCGGGAAUGCAAGUCAGAUGUGAAAACUAUGGGCUCAACCCAUAGCCUGCAUUUGAAACUGUACUUCUUGAGUGCUGGAGAGGUAAGCGGAAUUCCUAGUGUAGCGGUGAAAUGCGUAGAUAUUAGGAGGAACACCAGUGGCGAAGGCGGCUUACUGGACAGUAACUGACGUUGAGGCUCGAAAGCGUGGGGAGCAAACAGGAUUAGAUACCCUUGUA
rnacentral:rRNA from 1 species